GACGAACGCUGGCGGCGUGCUUAACACAUGCAAGUCGAACGGAAAGGCCCUGCUUUUGUGGGGUGCUCCAGUGGCGAACGGGUGAGUAACACGUGAGUAACCUGCCCUUGACUUUGGGAUAACUUCAGGAAACUGGGGCUAAUACCGGAUAGGAGCUCCUGCUGCAUGGUGGGGGUUGGAAAGUUUCGGCGGUUGGGGAUGGACUCGCGGCUUAUCAGCUUGUUGGUGGGGUAGUGGCUUACCAAGGCUUUGACGGGUAGCCGGCCUGAGAGGGUGACCGGCCACAUUGGGACUGAGAUACGGCCCAGACUCCUACGGGAGGCAGCAGUGGGGAAUAUUGCACAAUGGGCGGAAGCCUGAUGCAGCAACGCCGCGUGCGGGAUGGCGGCCUUCGGGUUGUAAACCGCUUUCGCCUGUGACGAAGCGUGAGUGACGGUAAUGGGUAAAGAAGCACCGGCUAACUACGUG
rnacentral:rRNA from 1 species